UACGAAGGGGGCUAGCGUUGCUCGGAAUGACUGGGCGUAAAGGGCGCGUAGGCGGAUGGCACAGUCAGAUGUGAAAUCUAUGGGCUCAACCCAUAGUCUGCAUCGGAAACUGUCGGGCUUGAGUAUGGGAGAGGUGAGUGGAAUUUCCGGUGUAGCGGUGAAAUGCGUAGAUAUCGGAAGGAACACCUGUGGCGAAAGCGGCUCACUGGACCAUUACUGACGCUGAGGCACGAAAGCGUGGGGAGCAAACAGG
rnacentral:rRNA from 1 species